rnacentral:rRNA from 1 species
GCACAAAAUGAUUAGUGGCGAACGGGUGAGUAACACGUGAGUAACCUGCCCUUAACUUCGGGAUAAGCCUGGGAAACUGGGUCUAAUACCGGAUACGACGGUCCACCGCAUGGUGGUCCGUGGAAAGCUUGAUGCGGUUUUGGAUGGACUCACGGCCUAUCAGCUAGUUGGUUGGGGUAAUGGCCCACCAAGGCGACGACGGGUAGCCGGCCUGAGAGGGUGACCGGCCACACUGGGACUGAGACACGGCCCAGACUCCUACGGGAGGCAGCAGUGGGGAAUAUUGCACAAUGGGCGAAAGCCUGAUGCAGCGACGCCGCGUGAGGGACGAAGGCCUUCGGGUUGUAAACCUCUUUCAGCAGGGAAGAAGCGAAAGUGACGGUACCUGCAGAAGAAGCGCCGGCUAACUACGUGCCAGCAGCCGCGGUAAUACGUAGGGCGCAAGCGUUAUCCGGAAUUAUUG